AAAAAUUAUAAGCACACAUCGAAGCCGCAGCUGGGGAGAGAGACAUUGGGCGGCUGUUUCUGGGAAAUAAAAAAGGGCAGCAAGACAUUUACACACACAGAAAAUACAGAAACAGGUGGCGGAAAAUUGAAAAAAAAGAGACAGAAUUACGCACCGCAAUUGAAGGAGAUGGCAGAGACACGAGAUGGACGACGAACACGGGAAAAAAGAAUUCCAAAUUGUCAUGCGUUUAAAAUCAAUCUAUCAUUCUGUGAAAAAUUGGAAAAUUAAUCAUGUUCCAUCAAAUUGUCGAUGAUGCCGUUCCCCUUUUAUUUGUUUAAUUCCGCUGUUAUGUUAGGCUAGGUUUAAAUGUACUAGGAGAUCGAUGAACCUUGUGAUAUAACU
rnacentral:lncRNA from 1 species